rnacentral:rRNA from 1 species
AAAUCACAAUGCGGGACGAUACGUCUUGCAAUUGGAUUGAGAACAAUGUACAACUCUUAUCGAUAAGCCAUUGGAGGGCAAGUCUGGUGCCAGCAGCCGCGGUAAUUCCAGCUCCAAUAGCGUAUAUUAACGUUGUUGCAGUUAAAAAGCUCGUAGUUGAAGUGUGGGUGGUGCCUACUUCCAGACUUCGGUUUAGGAGUGGAUGACUACCCCCUUCCAGUAUCCAGUAGUGGGUAUUCAGUUACUUACUAUUGUGUGUUGGUCGUUUACUGUGAGAAAAUUAGAGUGUUCAAAGCAGGCGUUUGCUUGAAUAGAUUAGCAUGGAAUAAUAAUUGAAGGCUUUCGUGUUCGAUUUGAUUGGUUUGUUCAUGGAAGCAAGGUUAAAAGGAACAGUUGGGGGUAUUCAUAUUCACUAGUUAGAGGUGAAAUUCUCGGAUUUAUGGAAGAU